GCGCCCGUAGCUCAGCUGGAUAGAGUAUCGCCCUCCGAAGGCGGUGGUCGGACGUUCGAAUCGUCUCGGGCGCGCCA
rnacentral:tRNA from 3 species